AAAACUUUCAACAACGGAUCUCUUGGUUCUGGCAUCGAUGAAGAACGCAGCGAAAUGCGAUAAGUAAUGUGAAUUGCAGAAUUCAGUGAAUCAUCGAAUCUUUGAACGCACAUUGCGCCCGCCAGUAUUCUGGCGGGCAUGCCUGUUCGAGCGUCAUU
rnacentral:rRNA from 22 species